GCAAAAGUUCUGCCUAUAUAAUUAUAGUGCAGACUUCGGAAAACUUGUACAAAUCUAAAUUUUCCGUUCAAGAUCGCUAAUAAUUCCAACUCGCUUAUUCCGUAUCCAAAUAUACAAACAUGCCAUUUCUUCGUUCUGCUCAAAUCGCUGUAUGCAUAGUGAUGCUGUCCUGGAUCCCAACAGGCUGGUCCAUUCCAAACGUUUUUUUGAUGCAAAACCCGGGUGACUGCUUGUGCCCGCCGUGUGUAUCUCCGAUGCCGGUUGUGGCGGCUGCCGCUCCAAAACUUGCACAAGCCGGUUGCCCGCAGUGUGCCUGCAAUACCGGAAACGUCCCGCCUCCUGUCCCGCUACAAUCAUCGGGAAGCUGCCCGCCGGGGGGCGCACCGUGCCUGUGUAUAACCAAAGAUAAACCGUGCAGUAUUAAUCAACCACUUCCGCCAUCCCCGAAAUGAACUCAUAAUGGGGAAGUUUAUAGUAAAUCAGUGAUUAAUUUUGGUGAUGGUUAUCUUGGAUGAUGACAAAUUCUGUUGUCCGUCUUUCCAUCAUAUUGAUGGGACGAAAGGCAGACGUGAUUUCUUUAGUAGAAAUGGGACAAUUGGGAUAAAUUAUAAAUGGGAUAAAUUAAAG